GCGAGUGGCGAACGGGUGAGUAAUAUAUCGGAACGUGCCCUGGAGUGGGGGAUAACGCAGCGAAAGUUGCGCUAAUACCGCAUACGAUCUAAGGAUGAAAGCGGGGGAUUCGCAAGAACCUCGUGCUCCUGGAGCGGCCGAUAUCUGAUUAGCUAGUUGGUGGGGUAAAGGCCUACCAAGGCAUCGAUCAGUAGCUGGUCUGAGAGGACGACCAGCCACACUGGAACUGAGACACGGUCCAGACUCCUACGGGAGGCAGCAGUGGGGAACUUUGGACAAUGGGCGAAAGCCUGAUCCAGCAAUGCCGCGUGCAGGAAGAAGGCCUUCGGGUUGUAAACUGCUUUUGUACGGAACGAAAAGGUCUGCCCUAAUACGGCGGGCCCAUGACGGUACCGUAAGAAUAAGCACCGGCUAACUACGUGCCAGCAGCCGCGGUAAUACGUAGGGUGCGAGCGUUAAUCGGAAUUACUGGGCGUAAAGCGUGCGCAGG
rnacentral:rRNA from 1 species